GUGCUCACUUUGGCAGCAUAUACACUAAAAUUGGGCCGACACAGAGAUUAGCAUGGCCCUAGUGCAAGGGUGACAUGCAAAUUCGUGAAGCAUUCCAUGUUUUU